rnacentral:rRNA from 1 species
CCUACGGGAGGCAGCAGUGGGGAAUAUUGGACAAUGGGCGAAAGCCUGAUCCAGCAAUGCCGCGUGAGUGAUGAAGGCCUUAGGGUUGUAAAGCUCUUUUACCAGGGAUGAUAAUGACAGUACCUGGAGAAUAAGCUCCGGCUAACUCCGUGCCAGCAGCCGCGGUAAUACGGAGGGAGCUAGCGUUGUUCGGAAUUACUGGGCGUAAAGAGUACGUAGGCGGUUAUUCAAGUCAGAGGUGAAAGCCCGGGGCUCAACCCCGGAACUGCCUUUGAAACUAGAUAGCUAGAGUCUUGGAGAGGUUAGUGGAAUUCCGAGUGUAGAGGUGAAAUUCGUCGAUAUUCGGAAGAACACCAGUGGCGAAGGCGACUAACUGGACAAGUACUGACGCUGAGGUACGAAAGCGUGGGGAGCAAACAGGAUUAGAUACCCUGGUAGUCCACGCCGUAAACGAUGAUAACUAGUUGUUCGGGCACUUGGUGCCUGAGUGACGCAGCUAACGCAUUAAGUUAUCCGCCUGGGGAGUACGGUCGCAAGAUUAAAACUCAAAGGAAUUGACGG